GGGCUCGUGGUCUAGCGGUUAUGACGUCGCCCUUACAAGGCUGAGAUCGAGGGCUUGAAUCCCUCCGAGCCCA
rnacentral:tRNA from 1 species